rnacentral:lncRNA from 1 species
UGGGGGCCAGGAGCCAGCAGGGAGAAGGGUGAGCAGAGGUGCCAGAUGAUGAGGAAAGAGGGUCUUCCCCAUGGAGGGAAGGCUCUGAGUGGUCCACAGAAGGACCACUCCCAUCGUGUAUGUGGAGUUUAGGGUGGGGACUUGGAGCUGCUGCAGGAAUCCAGACAAAUGUGAAAAAGACCCAGGCAACAGCAAUGAUGUGCUUUGAGAAGAAAUGUUGAAUCCAGGUCCCUGUCCCGCGGGCCCUGUCUGCCCAGAAAUAAGGCUCUGGACGAAAGGAGGCA